rnacentral:rRNA from 1 species
AUGGUGAAUGGCUACGUGCAGGCUGGAGACGGGAGGGAGGCGCUGGGGGCGUUCUCCCAGAUGCAGGCCGAAGUUGUCGACGACACGGUUCUUGUUGCGCUGGGGGUGCUUGCUGCGUGCCCGCAGCUGGGCGCUCUGGAGCAGGAGAAGUGGAUACAUGGCUACCUCAAAGCAAACAAUAUUAGUCUGUCUCUUGGAAUCGAGGUUUUUGAGGGAAUGAAGGGAAAGAAUGUACUUGCACGGACUACUAUGAUCAAGGGCAUGGCUAUGCACGGCCUAGGCUCGGACUCAUUGAUGCUCUUCUCGCAGAUGGAGAGCUCACAUGUUGAGCCGGAUGACAUUGGCUUCAUUGGCGCGCUCUGUGCGUGCACACACACUGGGUUGAUUGACAAGGGUCGGGAGCUUUUCAGUUCCAUGGUCAGCAACUAUGGUAUUAAACCAAAGAUUGAGCAUUAUGGGUGCAUGGUAGGCCUCCUGGCACGGAAUGACUUGCUUAGUGAGGCCAAAGACAUGGUUGAGAAAAUGCGCAUGAAACUGGAUGCCUUAAUCUGGGGAGCUCUAAUGGCUGGUUGUAGGUUUCUGCUCGAGUAUGUUAUAAAGCACUAG